rnacentral:rRNA from 1 species
CCUACGGGAGGCAGCAGUGAGGAAUCUUGCGCAAUGGGCGAAAGCCUGACGCAGCGACGCCGCGUGAGGGAUGAAGGCCUUCGGGUUGUAAACCUCUGUCAGGGGGGAAGAACCCCCGGGCGGUGAAUAACCGACCGGGCUGACGGUGCCCCCAGAGGAAGCCCCGUCUAACUCCGUGCCAGCAGCCGCGGUA